UACGAAGGGGGCUAGCGUUGUUCGGAAUUACUGGGCGUAAAGCGCGCGCAGGCGGUCCUUUAAGUCAGGGGUGAAAUCCCGGAGCUCAACUCCAGAACUGCCUUUGAUACUGGGGAUCUCGAGUCCGGGAGAGGUGAGUGGAACUCCGAGUGUAGAGGUGAAAUUCGUAGAUAUUCGGAAGAACACCAGUGGCGAAGGCGGCUCACUGGCCCGGUACUGACGCUGAGGUGCGAAAGCUAGGGUAGCAAACGGG
rnacentral:rRNA from 1 species